UGUUUUGAUUGCAUAGCCCUUUGUUUCUGGGAUAAUAUUUAUUUUUAGCUCCCAUCUUCAGCGUUCAGAGUUUUUAUGGAUUUAGCUUAUCAGUGAAGUGAUGCUCAAAUGACUGAUCCCAGAACUUUUGUGAAAAAUAUUCAUAGUAUCACCCAUGGUUUAUGAUUCAAUAAGGAGACAUAUGAAGUAUUCUUUUCCCUAGUGAUCUCAAGUGACACACACUAAAGACAGUGAGCUCUUGAUGUGCUGACACUUGUUCCUGGAAAAGAAGAAAAAAAAAGAAAAAAAGCAAUAGCAUAUUAUAAAAUUUCAGCCUUCAGAUGCUAAAAAAAGGAGGAAAUGGAAGAAAAGUACUGCCUCGAGUCAGAAAUCAGCAAGACAAUAUGUAGUGCUUCUGUAGCUUCAAAGCAGGCUGACUCAGAAGCUAAUGUUUUGGUAGAAAAGGUCAAGAAGAAAAUGGUUUGUGAUUCUCAGUGAUCUUUAUAUUAAGUGACUCUUAGGUCUCCAAUUACAGAGCUGCUCUUCGAUGGAAAAAAAAAUCAACCACUCUGUUAACAGCAGAAAAUAUUGCAAGUGAGCACAGCCUACAGUUGCAGGGUGUGAGGAGGGGGGGACAGAAGGAAUAAAAUGGAUGAAAAGUAGUGAAGUUUUUUGUGGAGAGUGCCUCAAUCCAGAUGAAAAAUAGAGCAGAGGAUGCUGAUAGAUAACAUAAUAAGAGGAACAAAAUUUGUCAAUAAGUAACUGCAUGAAUAAUAGAGAGAUUGACACAACCAUAGCAUUUCCUUUUUUUCUGUGAUCCCUUUUGGUUCUGUCUUUCAUCUUUAAAGGAGCCGAGAAGGGGAUUCUCACUUAAGCAAAUGAGAGCCCCAACAAGCACCUCCCAAUAACAAUCAGUUACGAGGGCCUGCACUUCAGGUGACUGCUCCAAGGGAGCCCAGGGCUUUCUGUAAAGCUGCUGCCCAACCUCUUUUAAAAAAUGGUCUCUUGUUCUCUGUGCUUUGAAGCUGGAGAAGCCUUGCAAAUACUUAUAUUGUUAAAGGUUCACCCCUGCAAUGGGAGAAAAAAGUCACUCUAUCUUCCAUGGUUUUGUUGUGCAACAGAUAGACGGAACACGAACAGAAGCUGCAAAGCUCUCUGGCAAAAGCUUUCCUUAUUUGACACUGCUUCUUCAUGUUAAGUAGUUGCUAAUUACACUUGAAAAGACUUGUACUUGAAAUUUUUCUUAGGAAACCUCAAGUAGAAGCAUGAAAAGCAUUUUUCAUGUGCACACUGAGAAGCUUGAUGUUCAAUCGAUAACCAGUAGCAGUAGGAACCUACUUUCCAUAAAAAAGCCUUAAAAAUUCUUUCAUCCAAAGAGCAUUCUAAAAAUAAGCAUUUUCUGUACUUUGAGGAAAUGAAGUGGGGAUUUGUUUUUGUUUGUAUCAAAUAAAUGGAUUUUGAUCCCUG